AUUGAACGCUGGCGGCAGGCCUAACACAUGCAAGUCGAACGAGUGGCGGACGGGUGAGUAAUGUCUGGGAAACUGCCCGAUGGAGGGGGAUAACUCAUGGAACCGGUAGCUAAUAACGCAUACCAUCCGAUGUACCCAGAUAGGAUUAGCUAGUAGGUGGGGUAAUGGCGCACCUAGGCGACGAUCCCUAGCUGGUAUGAGAGGAUGACCAGCCACACUAGAACUGAGACCCGGUCCAUAAGCCUACGUGAGGCAGCAGUGGGGAAUAUUGCACAAUGGGCGCAAGCCUGAUGCAGCAAUGCCGCGUGUAUGAAGAAGGCCUUCGGGUUGUAAAUGACUUUCAGCGAGGACGCGUUACUCGCAGAAGAAGCACCGGCUAACCCCGUGCCAGCAGCAGCGGUAAUAC
rnacentral:rRNA from 1 species